UAUACAUGCAAGUCGAGCGGAGUUGAAUARGKGCUUGCACUAAUUCAACUUAGCGGCGAACGGGUGAGUAACACGUAAAGAACCUGCCUCAUAGACUGGGACMACUACUGGAAACGGUAKCUAAUACUGGAUAACAUAUUUUACCGCAUGGGAAAAUAUUGAARGUCGGUCRUGCUGACACUAUGAGAUGGCUUUGCGGUGCAUUAGCUAGUUGGUAGGGUAAAGGCCUACCAAGGCGACGAUGCAUAGCCGACCUGAGAGGGUGAUCGGCCACACUGGGACUGAGACACGGCCCAKACUCCUACGGGAGGCAGCAGUAGGGAAUCUUCCGCAAUGGACGAAAGUCUGACGGAGCAACGCCGCGUGAGUGAAGAAGGAUUUCGGUUCGUAAAACUCUGUUGUUARGGAAGAAUGAUUGUAUAGUAACUAUAUACAGUAGAGACGGUACCUAACCAGAARGCCACGGCUAACUACGUGCCAGCAGCCGCGGUAAUACGUAGGUGGCAAGCGUUGUCCGGAAUUAUUGGGCGUAAAGCGCGCGCAGGUGGUUUAAAAAGUCUGAUGUGAAAGCCCACGGCUCAACCGUGGAAGGUCAUUGGAAACUGUUAAACUUGAGUGCAGGAGAGAAAAGUGGAAUUCCUAGUGUAGCGGUGAAAUGCGUAGAGAUUAGGAGGAACACCAGUGGCGAAGGCGGCUUUUUGGCCUGUAACUGACACUGAGGCGCGAAAGCGUGGGGAGCAAACAGGAUUAGAUACUC
rnacentral:rRNA from 1 species